UACGGGAGGCAGCAGUGGGGAAUAUUGCACAAUGGGCGCAAGCCUGAUGCAGCCAUGCCGCGUGUAUGAAGAAGGGCCUUCGGGUUGUAAAGUACUUUCAGCGGGGAGGAAGGCGGUGGAGUUAAUAGCUUCACCGAUUGACGUUACCCGCAGAAGAAGCACCGGCUAACUCCGUGCCAGCAGCCGCGGUAAUACGGAGGGUGCAAGCGUUAAUCGGAAUUACUGGGCGUAAAGCGCACGCAGGCGGUCUGUCAAGUCGGAUGUGAAAUCCCCGGGCUUAACCUGGGAACUGCAUUCGAAACUGGCAGGCUAGAGUCUUGUAGAGGGGGUUAGAAUUCCAGGUGUAGCGGUGAAAUGCGUAGAGAUCUGGAGGAAUACCGGUGGCGAAGGCGGCCCCUGGACAAGACUGACGCUCAGGUGCGAAAGCGUGGGGAGCAAACAGGAUUAGGAUACC
rnacentral:rRNA from 1 species